rnacentral:rRNA from 1 species
AGCGUACACGGUGGAUGCCCUGGCAGUCAGAGGCGAUGAAGGACGUGCUAAUCUGCGAUAAGCGUCGGUAAGGUGAUAUGAACCGUUAUAACCGGCGAUUUCCGAAUGGGGAAACCCAGUGUGAUUCGUCACACUAUCAUUAACUGAAUCCAUAGGUUAAUGAGGCGAACCGGGGGAACUGAAACAUCUAAGUACCCCGAGGAAAAGAAAUCAACCGAGAUUCCCCCAGUAGCGGCGAGCGAACGGGGAGCAGCCCAGAGCCUGAAUCAGUGUGUGUGUUAGUGGAAGCGUCUGGAAAGGCGUGCGAUACAGGGUGACAGCCCCGUACACAAAAAUGCACAUGCUGUGAGCUCGAUGAGUAGGGCGGGACACGUGGUAUCCUGUCUGAAUAUGGGGGGACCAUCCUCCAAGGCUAAAUACUCCUGACUGACCGAUAGUGAACCAGUACCGUGAGGGAAAGGCGAAAAGAACCCCGGCGAGGGGAGUGAAAAAGAACCUGAAACCGUGUACGUACAAGCAGUGGGAGCACAGAGCAAUCUGUGUGACUGCGUACCUUUUGUAUAAUGGGUCAGCGACUUAUAUUCUGUAGCAAGGUUAACCGAAUAGGGGAGCCGAAGGGAAACCGAGUCUUAACUGGGCGUUAAGUUGCAGGGUAUAGACCCGAAACCCGGUGAUCUAGCCAUGGGCAGGUUGAAGGUUGGGUAACACUAACUGGAGGACCGAACCGACUAAUGUUGAAAAAUUAGCGGAUGACUUGUGGCUGGGGGUGAAAGGCCAAUCAAACCGGGAGAUAGCUGGUUCUCCCCGAAAGCUAUUUAGGUAGCGCCUCGUGAAUUCAUCUCCGGGGGUAGAGCACUGUUUCGGCAAGGGGGUCAUCCCGACUUACCAACCCGAUGCAAACUGCGAAUACCGGAGAAUGUUAUCACGGGAGACACACGGCGGGUGCUAACGUCCGUCGUGAAGAGGGAAACAACCCAGACCGCCAGCUAAGGUCCCAAAGUCAUGGUUAAGUGGGAAACGAUGUGGGAAGGCCCAGACAGCCAGGAUGUUGGCUUAGAAGCAGCCAUCAUUUAAAGAAAGCGUAAUAGCUCACUGGUCGAGUCGGCCUGCGCGGAAGAUGUAACGGGGCUAAACCAUGCACCGAAGCUGCGGCAGCGACGCUUAUGCGUUGUUGGGUAGGGGAGCGUUCUGUAAGCCUGCGAAGGUGUGCUGUGAGGCAUGCUGGAGGUAUCAGAAGUGCGAAUGCUGACAUAAGUAACGAUAAAGCGGGUGAAAAGCCCGCUCGCCGGAAGACCAAGGGUUCCUGUCCAACGUUAAUCGGGGCAGGGUGAGUCGACCCCUAAGGCGAGGCCGAAAGGCGUAGUCGAUGGGAAACAGGUUAAUAUUCCUGUACUUGGUGUUACUGCGAAGGGGGGACGGAGAAGGCUAUGUUGGCCGGGCGACGGUUGUCCCGGUUUAAGCGUGUAGGCUGGUUUUCCAGGCAAAUCCGGAAAAUCAAGGCUGAGGCGUGAUGACGAGGCACUACGGUGCUGAAGCAACAAAUGCCCUGCUUCCAGGAAAAGCCUCUAAGCAUCAGGUAACAUCAAAUCGUACCCCAAACCGACACAGGUGGUCAGGUAGAGAAUACCAAGGCGCUUGAGAGAACUCGGGUGAAGGAACUAGGCAAAAUGGUGCCGUAACUUCGGGAGAAGGCACGCUGAUAUGUAGGUGAAGUCCCUCGCGGAUGGAGCUGAAAUCAGUCGAAGAUACCAGCUGGCUGCAACUGUUUAUUAAAAACACAGCACUGUGCAAACACGAAAGUGGACGUAUACGGUGUGACGCCUGCCCGGUGCCGGAAGGUUAAUUGAUGGGGUUAGCGCAAGCGAAGCUCUUGAUCGAAGCCCCGGUAAACGGCGGCCGUAACUAUAACGGUCCUAAGGUAGCGAAAUUCCUUGUCGGGUAAGUUCCGACCUGCACGAAUGGCGUAAUGAUGGCCAGGCUGUCUCCACCCGAGACUCAGUGAAAUUGAACUCGCUGUGAAGAUGCAGUGUACCCGCGGCAAGACGGAAAGACCCCGUGAACCUUUACUAUAGCUUGACACUGAACAUUGAGCCUUGAUGUGUAGGAUAGGUGGGAGGCUUUGAAGUGUGGACGCCAGUCUGCAUGGAGCCGACCUUGAAAUACCACCCUUUAAUGUUUGAUGUUCUAACGUUGACCCGUAAUCCGGGUUGCGGACAGUGUCUGGUGGGUAGUUUGACUGGGGCGGUCUCCUCCUAAAGAGUAACGGAGGAGCACGAAGGUUGGCUAAUCCUGGUCGGACAUCAGGAGGUUAGUGCAAUGGCAUAAGCCAGCUUGACUGCGAGCGUGACGGCGCGAGCAGGUGCGAAAGCAGGUCAUAGUGAUCCGGUGGUUCUGAAUGGAAGGGCCAUCGCUCAACGGAUAAAAGGUACUCCGGGGAUAACAGGCUGAUACCGCCCAAGAGUUCAUAUCGACGGCGGUGUUUGGCACCUCGAUGUCGGCUCAUCACAUCCUGGGGCUGAAGUAGGUCCCAAGGGUAUGGCUGUUCGCCAUUUAAAGUGGUACGCGAGCUGGGUUUAGAACGUCGUGAGACAGUUCGGUCCCUAUCUGCCGUGGGCGCUGGAGAACUGAGGGGGGCUGCUCCUAGUACGAGAGGACCGGAGUGGACGCAUCACUGGUGUUCGGGUUGUCAUGCCAAUGGCACUGCCCGGUAGCUAAAUGCGGAAGAGAUAAGUGCUGAAAGCAUCUAAGCACGAAACUUGCCCCGAGAUGAGUUCUCCCUGACUCCUUGA